CGUAGGGUGCGAGCGUUAAUCGGAAUUACUGGGCGUAAAGCGUGCGCAGGCGGUUAUAUAAGACAGAUGCGAAAUCCCCGGGCUCAACCUGGGAACUGCAUUUGUGACUGUAUAGCUAGAGUACGGCAGAGGGGGAUGGAAUUCCGCGUGUAGCAGUGAAAUGCGUAGAUAUGCGGAGGAACACCGAUGGCGAAGGCAAUCCCCUGGGCCUGUACUGACGCUCAUGCACGAAAGCGUGGGGAGCAAACAGGAUUAGAUACCCUGGUAGUCCACGCCCUAAACGAUGUCAACUGGUUGUUGGGUCUUCACUGACUCAGUAACGAAGCUAACGCGUGAAGUUGACCGCCUGGGGAGUACGGCCGCAAGGUUG
rnacentral:rRNA from 1 species